GUUCCUACGGGACGCAGCAGUGGGGAAUAUUGCGCAAUGGGCGAAAGCCUGACGCAGCGACGCCGCGUGAGGGAUGAAGGUCUUCGGAUCGUAAACCUCUGUCAGCAGGGAAGAACGGUCACUGUGCUAAUCAGCAGUGAAUUGACGGUACCUGCAAAGGAAGCACCGGCUAACUCCGUGCCAGCAGCCGCGGUAAUACGGAGGAUGCGAGCGUUAUCCGGAUUUAUUGGGUUUAAAGGGUGCGUAGGCGGGAUGCCAAGUCAGCGGUAAAAAUGCGGUGCUCAACGCCGUCGAGCCGUUGAAAC
rnacentral:rRNA from 1 species